CUGCCAGUUCUCUGUCUCCUUUGAGCUAGAGAACUCUAACUGUUGCAACUCAGUUUCGUCUGAUGUUGUUACUAAGGGACUUGAUGUUUCAUCUGAUUUGGCUACAAAAGGUUUCCAAUCAUUAGGAUCAGUUUGAGUGGCUGUUGGUACAUGCAUAAGCCUCAUCAACCGGCCCAUUUUGUCAGUUUAUGUAGUUUGUCCAUCCAGGUGAGAGAUGACAAGGUUAACAGUACCCCUCAAUAUCUGUCAACCUGUGCCCAACUUGAGCCCGUGGGCAAGGUUCUGGGUAAAUAACUUCUGUAAGUUAUUACCAAAAAUUUGUAUCACUUUUGUUUGAUGACUCUCGCUGGGCAGUGACUCCAGACGAUAGGGAGAGAGAGGCUUUAACCCCUCCUCCGAACUGGGGCCGAGGCCGACUUAGUUACCUGUGAAGGGCAUCCAGCGGGACCACGAGGAGGUGCGACCACUGCGGCUGAGCCCAGUCAGUAACUCUGCUCCCACCUUAGGAGAGUGAUAGUUACUCCCGCCGUUUACCUGCACUUCACUGAAUUUCUUCCCUUUGCCAUUGAGAGCUCUGGGCAGAAAUCCCAGCGCGUCAGCCCCCGCCGUGGGCCUUGGCGAUGCUUGGCUUUAAUUAAACAGUCGGAUUCCCCUGGUCCGCACCAGUUCCUGGUGCUGAGCCCUGGCCAAGGCGGGGAGGAGUGGUCUCAGCCUUCCUUCUGUGAUGGAUAAAAGAGGCUAGAAUUUAGGUUGCAAGGUAAAAACAGGUUUAUUAAUGCUAACAAGCAAAAGCGGCUAGCCGGGCGACCGGGGGAAACCCUUGCUCCACCACAGUCCGCAAAAUGGGGAACCGAAACAGCAGUAAUUAUAACUCUUAUUGACCCCACCCCCCUAAGUCAUGUCCAUAGUCCAUUGGUGGGGUUUUCGCGGGCCAUCCUCUGCUUGGUUCCUCUUUCGCGGGCUAGUCUGAGGUUGGCUCCUCUGUUCGCGGGCCUUUGCCGUUGCUGAGGGGCUUCUACCAAUGAUGUCAAAGUCUAUAGUCUCUAUGAGGCCGUGGUCCUGGAAUUUUCCAUCAGGGGAUGUCAUCUAAUCAUAGGACUCCUCGUGGCUUGCCCUCCAUAUUAGUUCCUAUUAAUAUGCUUAUAACAAAUAUCUUUAAAACACCAAAUCAUUCUGCGCUGUGUUAACAAACUCGUGGUUAGGGAUUUCACAAUUAGUUCACUCAUGACUCUGAACAAUGUGGUUAGUAGAAUACAAUAACAUUAUUAACCCUUUUGAACAGCAAAUUUCCUAGGUUUACUUAUAACACUUCUAAUUCUCCUCCCUGGGCAGUUUAUUACAGACAGUUGAAUACCAAUGCUUGGCCUUUAACGGCUGCUCUGCCAACCAGAGGGCCCCCCCUGAAAAAUAGGGGAAGUUUGUGUUGUUUUCUCUUUCCAGGAAUGCCAGCACUCCCCCCGCUGAAGAUGAGAGGAAGGAGUUGCAAGCAGGGCAGCUGCCAGCGGAUUUCCCCGAGAAGGCUCACAGCCAGCCAAGAUGGGAUAAUCAUUUUUCCCUUAGGCCCUUUGAACUUUGGUUACUUGCUGCUUGAGCAGCAUCCUGCCAGACAAGACAUUCUUUCUUCUUUUUCAGGAUUGGUCUGUAUUAGGCCAAAUUUUCCCUUUGUUUUUUUAGGAACCUGCUGACAGGUGAGACCCAGCUGCCUGAAACCGAUGGAACUUUUAACUGCCCCAUAAUUGCUUGUGCUGUCAGUUUAUUAAUGUUUGUGAUUUGUUUGUGUUUCCAUGGCAAGCAACUUGUUGAGAACUAAGAAUAUUAGGAGGAUUUUAUAAGACAAACCAUUCUGUGUAUUGCCAGUUUGAUUUUUGCUAAGUUUAUUUUGUCUUUUUACUAAAAAGAAUGGGGUGGGGAAAGCUUUUAUCUUAUGGAUGUAUAAGUUUGUCUCAGAAAACUCAAUCAAAUUUAGCCUGGGAGUUGGUACAAGAAUUUAUGCCUAUUUGGAAUCCUGUAAAUAUGUAUUAACCUUCCCAUUCUGCCUCAGAAGGAUUUAGAUUUAUUAUGAUUUGGCUAAAUUUUUCAGAGAUGUUAAUGAGUGAACUAAAUAAUCUUAACAAAAGAAAACAUUACAUGGAAAUGGUUGAGUCCCCCUUCCUAAACCAGAAGGAGGGACGGCCACAGACUGCAAAGGGGACAUGGAUAAAAUACAGGAAGGUCUUUUACCAGCUCUCAAGACCUGUAACCAGUUUUGGAAACACUUGUAUUCUCACUUGAACGUGUCUGAUGUACUGUUGGGUUUCCUACCCUGUGUCCUAAGCAGGUUUUCUACUUUGCAUCUCUUCUUUCAUUUUUGCUAAUCAAUAUGGUAACUCUAGUCCACUGUGCACCCCACAUGCUUCUAAACUUUGGGUGCAAUUUACUGUAGCAGCAAUUGUAAAGGAAUGUGAUGAGGGGAAUUUGCCCACUAAAAUUAAAAAAAUAAAAAAGGGAAAGCACCUGGGGAUAAUACAGGUAAAUUUGAAAGGGAAUUAAUUUCAUUUAUGACCCCACCACCAGUAAAACCACAGCUUUUUGUUUUGUGUCAGGACUAAAUCACGACAGAGCUCUCCCCUGUGCUCUGUCCCCUGAGAAUGGAGUAUAGGCCUGAUGUAAAGAUGUGCUUAUAUGAACACUCUUUUAUAUUUUGUAUGAGGACUUUGUACACCAAAAGUUAAUUUUUCAUGGUGUGUAGAAUUACCCAGUGGGGCAGGAACGUUGCCAAGAAAUUCUUCCAACUCGAUGUGCAUGUGGCCCAGAGAGAACCCUGUUUUAAAGCCUUUGAACUGUAUGAACACACCUCCUUACAAACCCAGUCCCACUUGUUCUGGUGUGCAAAGGGAACCAAUUUACUGUGAGACCUGGAGAUGCCCUUUGAGUCUUGGCUGAAAAACACGUGUCUUAUACGUGAGGUGUGUUUGUUGGGGAUCCCCCUCGAUGGGAUUGAAAAAUCAGAACUUGCUGUGGAAUUCUGGGACUCAUUUCAAGCCCCAAAUGUACUUGAGAGACCCCUGGACUUGCAAGACAAGCAGCUCUGGUGCCCCACUUGGGUCAGCUUGGGGUGUUCUGACUCAUCACUCUGCUCUGAGGUGGGGGUAGUGCUGCCAUCCCUUUGCCCAAAUCGUGUCUCUCCUGACCCAUGGGCAGGAAGGACAGGGCAGGAACUGAGUUGUCCUGAACAAAGCUGAGACUGGAUCACUGACACACGUGCCCCAGAUUGUUAUACAGUCAGGCAAAGGAUAGAUUUUCAUCUUUGGGUAUUUUUUACACCUUCUCUAGUUCUAACACACCACCAGUGGGCCUUGGAAAGUACCCCAGGGCAGGUGCAUGCCCUCAGUAAUUGGGCCAGGUGUGUGUUCAGAGAGCUGAACUUGGGAGUCCAGCAGGUGUCAAAACUGGCUUUACAGAAUGGGUUGGCGUUAGAUAUGUUACUGUUAAAGGAACAAGGGGGGUGUGGAAUGUUAAAUCUUCCUGAAUGUUGUAUUGCCAUUCACAAUGUAACGGCAUCAACUGGAAAAACCUGAGGCAAAACGAAAGCAAUGGCUGAUCAAACCUCAGAACUUCUGCAAUCACUCCAACCCAAGGACUGGCUUCAAGGAAUUGGCCCCAGUUCCUGGCUGAUGUCCAUGUUCCAAUCCUUGGGACUGGCGGGGUGGGGGCAGUGGCUGAUGAGGAUUGGGUUGAUGGUUGCAAUUGGAUUUACAUUUUUCAUGAUUGGAACAGCUGAUGUCCGUGGUAUGAUUACUCUUGUUGUUGUUUCUGCUGUUUGUGUCUUCUCUGCUCUGUCUUGUCUAUGUGCACAUCACCCUGAUGGAAAACCCGUGAACUGAGGAAAAGUCCCUGGCAGAGAGUGUUUGAGCCAUGGGGUGGGGGAAGGACUUCAGUGCAGUUCCCUCUCUCCAAACCCUGUCAAAGCCACAGAAGGAACUUGCUGUAAGAGAAGCCAGUGGACAAAAAAUCCCCCCUGUGCAGACAGUGAGAACUUGAGAUGAGCCCAGAAGGGAGGAAUCUGCAAGAGGAAAGAGCUCAUGCCAGGCAGGUGGUGAGGCAGAUCUGGGGAACCUCCUCCUUCCUGCAUCUCAGCAAAAAUUCCCCCUGUGGCAGCCUGGGGGAAAGGAAACAACUGCUCACACAUGUGCCAUCCCAAGUAAUGGGAAUGGGAUCUAGGCCCCUUUCAAACUCCAGGAGUUCAAGUAAGGCAGUAAAACUUAGGAGAUUGAUGUAUCUCACCAUACUCAGCCAUAAGGUUCACAUCUGCAGCGGACACUUUUAUAGCAUGGAGGCAAGAGGUACCUGCACUACCACUUCAUGAGGUAAAGAUGACUGACUGUAGUCAGGGGGGGGCUGUGGCAGGAGGGCCUACCCCGAGAAGGCCCAGAAGCCCAUCAGAAAAUGCCCACAGUGCAGGCUCUCAUGCAAGCUGGCUGUGGUGAGUUCUGGUGGUGCCACGGUGGUGGGUUUUGGUGUUGAAUGAGGCUAAAACCAGCCUGGUUCACCAAACCCCAAACACAUCCUGCUUUUUGAAGUUGGGUGUGGCAGAUAAGCUGGUGGCUGGCCUGUAAAUUUGUGACUAGCAGUCAAUCACUUUAUACUAUAAAAGUCCAGUCCACUUUUCUGCAGUCAGGUUCUUCAAACCUAACCCUUCUUGGGGUGUAUGUGUGGAGAUUCCUCCCUUGGGCUGGGGACCCCCCAAGGAUACUCCUUGAGGCUGAGCAAAAGAGUUCUCCCCACAAGCAUUGGUAUGGGUGAGUUACAUCCAAUCUCUACUUAAUGAUUAUUUCCCUUCUGCUACCUUGAAUAUAAUUGCUUCAGUAAUUGCUUCAAUAGAGUGCACUGUCCUAUCCUACCCUGUGCUAGUAGUAGUCUUAGCCUUUAUAUUGUGCAGUAAAUAAUUCUGAUUAAGAUCUUCUCUCUGUUCACCUGUUGAUUUGUCUGAUCAUUUGUAUCAAUAAAUGAUUCAUUUUAUAGAAA